rnacentral:rRNA from 1 species
ACGGGAGGCAGCAGUGGGGAAUAUUGGACAAUGGAGGAAACUCUGAUCCAGCGACGCCGCGUGAGUGAAGAAGUAUUUCGGUAUGUAAAGCUCUAUCAGCAGGGAAGAUAAUGACGGUACCUGACUAAGAAGCCCCGGCUAACUACGUGCCAGCAGCCGCGGUAAUACGUAGGGGGCAAGCGUUAUCCGGAUUUACUGGGUGUAAAGGGAGCGUAGACGGCUUUGCAAGUCUGAUGUGAAAGCCCGGGGCUUAACCCCGGGACUGCAUUGGAAACUGUAGAGCUUGAGUGCAGGAGAGGUAAGUGGAAUUCCUAGUGUAGCGGUGAAAUGCGUAGAUAUUAGGAGGAACACCAGAGGCGAAGGCGGCUUACUGGACUGUAACUGACGUUGAGGCUCGAAAGCGUGGGGAGCAAACAGGAUUAGAUACCCUGGUA